CGCGGCUAAUUCCAGCUCCAAUAGCGUAUAUUAAAGUUGUUGCGGUUAAAACGCUCGCUAGUUGAAUCUGCGGCCUGGGAGAACGGACCCCCGAAAGGGUGGAAACUGUUACUCCUAGCCUAAAUUUUUAGUCUACUCUACGGUGCCUUUAACCGGGUGCUUAGAGUGACUGGAACGUUUACUUUGAAAAAAUUAGAGUGCUUAAAGCAGGCAAAUUUGCCUGAAUAAGGUGCAUGGAAUAAUGGAAUAGGACCUCGGUUCUAUUUUGUUGGUUUUCGGAGCCUGAGGUAAUGAUUAAGAGGAACAGACGGGGGCAUUCGUAUUCCGGCGCUAGAGGUGAAAUUCUUGGACCGCCGGAAGACGGACGACUGCGAAAGCAUUUGCCAAGAAUGUUUUCAUUAAUCAAGAACGAAAGUUAGAGGUUCGAAGGCGAUCAGAUACCGCCCUAGUUCUAACCGUAAACGAUGACAACCAGCGAUUAGUCGGCGUUAAUAUAUGACCCGACUAGCAGCUUCCGGGAAACCAAAGUUUUUCGUUUCCGGGGGAAGUAUGGUUGCAAAGCUGAAACUUAAAGGAAUUGACGGAAGGGCACCACCAGGAGUGGAGCCUGCGGCUUAAUUUGACUCCAACACGGAGAAA
rnacentral:rRNA from 1 species